UGGGAUCUACUUUACACACACGAGAGAAGUGCAAUUGUAUCGGCCGAUGAUUCGUGGAGUUUGUGAACAAAAAUACGCAUACGGUACUGUACGCAUACUCACCUCAUGCAUCUAAACCUUUGGUGUGGAUCUUUGCUCGGUAGAAACAGAUUGAGGAAAAUGAUUGGUUUGUUUGACCACAGCCGAAAGGGCUGAUUGAGUUAUUUUGUUUUCGCUGAACGACGGAAGUAGCAGCAUCGCUCUUCAAACUUUUCGUGUGACCUGCAAUAAUGUGGACCAACAAGCUAGGCACAUGUCAGCAUGGUCAACGCAUAUCCACGGCAACCCCAUCGUAUACCGUUUUUGGGAACAACACUGACUUUGUUCUUGAUGGAGAGAGUUGUCUUCUGCAUGCCUUGCUCUGCGAUGGUCGUUGGUAGCGUAAGUCAACCACUCUUGCAGGACUAAAAGUAUGUAUGCGUGCACUAACUCGAAUAAUCAGACAAUUGCGGUCCGCGUGUACCCAACUGCCAAGAUUCCUUCGAAUUAUCAGGGAAUGUAGAGAUUGUGAUAUGAACUAUAUCGUUGCCCAAGCCAUGACAUCUAGUGGCACUACACGACUUACAGACAUCCUGGAAUCGGGACAGCCUGUGUAUUUCAGCCAGCAGCUUUUAGACUUUACUCAGGCCUAUGUUAUGGUGGUCGUUCUUCCACUUGGGAUCAUCGGCAACGCAUUGUCCUUUGUGAUAUUCUUGCGGGUGAGGAGGCGGGCGAACGCCUGCGUCCAGUACCUCAGUUGUCUUGCUGUUUCCGAUACUGGCGUCAUUCUUAUGGGAGGAGUGACCGACUGGAUAUCUUUCGGUCUAAAGCAUAUCACGGAUGGCGCGUACGAUAUAGGUGACCUCUUAACGUACAGUAACACAACAUGUAAAUUUCUUGCUGGUUUUCGUCACAUUUUCGAAGUAAUAUCAGCGUGGAUAAUCGUGGCUUUUUCUGUGGAGCGGGCCUACGUGGUUUGGUUUCCUCUAAAACGUGCGACAAUCACGUCAAAACAGAGGAAAUUAGUAAUUGUUGUCAUAUUCGUCACCGCUAUACUCCUUAGUGUUCAGCGUUUCAUUUUAUUGGGUGUUCUUUCAGGAUCAGUGGCUCUCUGCUUCUAUCAAACGACUCAGUAUAUUUCAGCUGUGCUUUGGCAGCUGGACAUCGCUUUCUACGGUUAUGUUCCAUGUACCUUGAUUUUCCUUGCCAACAUUUUGAUAUUGGUUGCCAUUUCCCUCUCUAGGAAACAGAGGCUAGGAGAAAAUGCCCGUAAAGGCGGCGGCGAAGGAAGUACAAAAGAUGUUCCGAAUAAACCGGCAGAGUUCUGGGUAAAUUGCCAAUUUUAUGAAUUCCUGAUAGAUGGAGUGGAUCUUCAGAGAGUAGACAAUGCAUAAGAGAACAAGAACAUGUCAAGCUUUUCUGAACACAGUCGUUGCGGCAGCUAGCAAGCAAAAGGAAAUACUAGUUAUUGUAACACAAAUAUGCACGUCGUAGAGGUUUUUCCUUAGGCACUUCAUUUUAUUUAUGGAAGAGGAUAUGUACACAACAUGCUGUGUAUGCAACAGAAAAAAGUAUUGUUGCAAACACAGUAUGCUGUGAACGCUAGCAAGCAUCGCGCUUGCGUACACAGCAUGUAUACAAUGUACAGCAUUGU